AGUGAACGCUGGCGGUAGGCCUAACACAUGCAAGUCGAACGGCAGCACAGUAAGAGCUUGCUCUUACGGGUGGCGAGUGGCGGACGGGUGAGGAAUACAUCGGAAUCUACUUUUUCGUGGGGGAUAACGUAGGGAAACUUACGCUAAUACCGCAUACGACCUACGGGUGAAAGCAGGGGAUCUUCGGACCUUGCGCGAUUGAAUGAGCCGAUGUCGGAUUAGCUAGUUGGCGGGGUAAAGGCCCACCAAGGCGACGAUCCGUAGCUGGUCUGAGAGGAUGAUCAGCCACACUGGAACUGAGACACGGUCCAGACUCCUACGGGAGGCAGCAGUGGGGAAUAUUGGACAAUGGGCGCAAGCCUGAUCCAGCCAUACCGCGUGAGUGAAGAAGGCCUUCGGGUUGUAAAGCCCUUUUGUUGGGAAAGAAAAGCAGCAGGUUAAUACCCCGCUGUUCUGACGGUACCCAAAGAAUAAGCUCCGGCUAACUUCGUG
rnacentral:rRNA from 1 species